CACGAACCGUACGAACGUUAUUCGGAAUUACUGGGCUUAAAGGGUUUGUAGGCGGCCUUGUAAGUCAGGUGUGAAAGCCCUCGGCUCAACCGAGGAACAGCGCUUGAUACUGCAAGGCUUGAGGGAGACAGGGGUAAGCGGAACUGAUGGUGGAGCGGUGAAAUGCGUUGAUAUCAUCAGGAACACCGGUGGCGAAAGCGGCUUACUGGGUCUCUUCUGACGCUGAGGAACGAAAGCUAGGGUAGCGAACGGG
rnacentral:rRNA from 3 species